rnacentral:rRNA from 1 species
CUAAGCCGAGGCCGAAAGGCGUAGGUGAUGGACAACAGGUUGAUAUUCCUGUACCGCCAAUAAGCGUUUGAGAGAUGGAGUGACACAGUAGGAUAAGCUAACCGUACUGUUGGUUAUGUACGGCUAAGCAUUGAGGCAGUCUAAAUAGGCAAAUCCGUUUAGACAAUGCUAGGAUGUGAUGGGGAAGCCCUUCGGGGCGAAGUAGCUGAUUUCACACUGUCAAGAAAAGCUUCUAUCGAGUUUAAAGGCGCCCGUACCGUAAACCGACACAGGUGGGUGAGGAGAGUAUCCUAAGGCCAGCGAGAGAACUAUUGUUAAGGAACUCGGCAAAAUGACCCCGUAACUUAGGGAGAAGGGGUGCCUGUCUAUGACAGGCCGCAGAGAAUAGGCCCAAGCGACUGUUUACCAAAAACACAGGUUUCUGCUAAGUCGCAAGACGAUGUAUAGGAGCUGACGCCUGCCCGGUGCUGGAAGGUUAAGGGGAUCUGUUAGAGCAAUCGAAGCAGUGAACUUAAGCCCCAGUAAACGGCGGCCGUAACUAUAACGGUCCUAAGGUAGCGAAAUUCCUUGUCGGGUAAGUUCCGACCCGCACGAAAGGCGUAACGAUUUGGGCACUGUCUCAACAAUAGACUCGGUGAAAUUGUAAUCCCGGUGAAGAUGCCGGGUACCUGCGACAGGACGGAAAGACCCCAUGGAGCUUUACUGUAGCUUGACGUUGGGUCUUGGUACUACAUGUACAGGAUAGGUGGGAGACUAUGAAGCAUGGACGCCAGUCUGUGUGGAGUCAUCCUUGGGAUACCACCCUUGUAGUACUGGGAUCCUAACCAUAGGCCUUGAAUCAGGUCUUGGAACACCGUCAGGUGGGCAGUUUGACUGGGGCGGUCGCCUCCUAAAAAGUAACGGAGGCGCUCAAAGGUUUCCUCAGCACGGUCGGAAAUCGUGCGAAGAGUGUAAAGGCAAAAGGAAGCUUGAUUGCAAGACAUACAGGUCGAGCAAGGACGAAAGUCGGACUUAGUGAUCCGGUGGUACCGCAUGGAAGGGCCAUCGCUCAACGGAUAAAAGCUACCCUGGGGAUAACAGGCUGAUCUCCCCCAAGAGUCCACAUCGACGGGGAGGUUUGGCACCUCGAUGUCGGCUCAUCACAUCCUGGGGCUGUAGUAGGUCCCAAGGGUUGGGCUGUUCGCCCAUUAAAGUGGUACGCGAGCUGGGUUCAGAACGUCGUGAGACAGUUCGGUCCCUAUCCGUCGCAGGCGUAGGAAAUUUGAGAAGACCUGUCCUUAGUACGAGAGGACCGGGAUGGACGUACCUCUGGUGUACCAGUUGUUCUGCCAAGGGCAUGGCUGGGUAGCUAUGUACGGAAUGGAUAAGCGCUGAAAGCAUCUAAGCGCGAAGCCAACUUCAAGAUAAGAUUUCCCACCGCAAGGGUAAGACCCCAGAAAGACUAUCUGGUUGAUAGGUCGAAGGUGUAAGUGCAGCAAUGUAUUUAGCUUAUCGAUACUAAUAGGUCGAGGACUUGACCAA